rnacentral:rRNA from 1 species
CAGGAUGAACGCUAGCUACAGGCUUAACACGAUGGCAAGUCGAGGGGUAGCAGGUAGCAAUACCGCUGACGACCGGCGCACGGGUGAGUAACACGUAUCCAACCUUCCCACAACUCAGGAAUAGCCUUUCGAAAGAAAGAUUAAUACCUGAUGGUACUUAUAUAAGGCAUCUUAAAUAAGUUAAAGAUUUAUUGGUUGUGGAUGGGAUGCGUUCCAUUAGAUAGUUGGUGAGGUAACGGCUCACCAAGUCUUCGAUGGAUAGGGGUUCUGAGAGGAAGGUCCCCCACAUUGGUACUGAGACACGGACCAAACUCCUACGGGAGGCAGCAGUGAGGAAUAUUGGUCAAUGGGCGAGAGCCUGAACCAGCCAAGUAGCGUGAAGGAAUGAAGGUCCUAUGGAUUGUAAACUUCUUUUAUAGUAGAAUAAAGUGAGCCACGUGUGGUUUUUUGUAUGUAUACUAUGAAUAAGGAUCGGCUAACUCCGUGCCAGCAGCGGC